rnacentral:rRNA from 1 species
AAAUUGAAGAGUUUGAUCAUGGCUCAGAUUGAACGCUGGCGGCAGGCCUAACACAUGCAAGUCGAACGGUAACAGGAAGCAGCUUGCUGCUUCGCUGACGAGUGGCGGACGGGUGAGUAAUGUCUGGGAAACUGCCUGAUGGAGGGGGAUAACUACUGGAAACGGUAGCUAACCGUAGGGGAACCUGCGGUUGGAUCACCUCCUUACCUUAAAGAACCUGCCCUGCAGUGCUCACACAGAUUGUCUGAUGAAAAACGAGCAGUAAAAACCUCUACAGGCUUGUAGCUCAGGUGGUUAGAGCGCACCCCUGAUAAGGGUGAGGUCGGUGGUUCAAGUCCACUCAGGCCUACCAAAUUU